CAGGCCUAACACAUGCAAGUCGAGCGGAUGACGGGAGCUUGCUCCUUGAUUCAGCGGCGGACGGGUGAGUAAUGCCUAGGAAUCUGCCUGGUAGUGGGGGACAACGUUUCGAAAGGAACGCUAAUACCGCAUACGUCCUACGGGAGAAAGCAGGGGACCUUCGGGCCUUGCGCUAUCAGAUGAGCCUAGGUCGGAUUAGCUUGUUGGUGAGGUAAUGGCUCACCAAGGCGACGAUCCGUAACUGGUCUGAGAGGAUGAUCAGUCACACUGGAACCGAGACACGGUCCAGACUCCUACGGGAGGCAGCAGUGGGGAAUAUUGCACAAUGGGCGCAAGCCUGAUGCAGCCAUGCCGCGUGUAUGAAGAAGGCCUUCGGGUUGUAAAGUACUUUCAGCGGGGAGGAAGGCGGUGGAGUUAAUAACUUCACCGAUUGACGUUACCCGCAGAAGAAGCACCGGCUAACUCCGUGCCAGCAGCCGCGGUAAU
rnacentral:rRNA from 1 species